rnacentral:rRNA from 1 species
GAGGAGGAGCAAAUCUGAAAAAAGACGUCCCUAGUUCGGAUUGUAGGCUGAAGCUCGCCUACAUGAAGCUGGAAUUGCUAGUAAUCACAGGUCAGCAUACUGUGGUGAAUACGUUCCCGGGCCUUGUACACACCGCCCGUCACACCAUGAGAGUUGAGAAUACCCGAAGCCUGUGAGCUAACUUUUAGAGGCAGCAGUCGAAGGUAGAAUCAAUGAUUGGGGUGAAGUCGUAACAAGGUAUC